AUACGAAAGGUGCAAGCGUUGUUCGGAUUUACUGGGCGUAAAGAGAGUGUAGGUUGUUUAUUAAGUCGGAUGUGAAAUCCCGGGGCUCAACCUCGGAACUGCAUUCGAUACUGGUAGACUAGAGUUCGGGAGGGGUAAGCGGAAUUCCGUGUGUAGCAGUGAAAUGCGUAGAUAUACGGAGGAACACCUGAGGCGAAGGCGGCUUACUGGACCGAUACUGACACUGAGACUCGAAAGCGUGGGUAGCAAACAGGAUUAGAAACCCUUGUAGUCC
rnacentral:rRNA from 1 species